GACGAACGCUGGCGGCGUGCUUAACACAUGCAAGUCGAACGAUGAAGUUCCUUCGGGAAUGGAUUAGUGGCGAACGGGUGAGGAACACGUGAGAAACCUGCCUUUCAUUUUGGGAUAACUCCGGGAAACCGGGGCUACAACCGAAUACUCCGUCUCGGCGGCAUCGCAGAGCCGGGAAAAAAUUUUGAUGAAAGAUGGUCUCGCGGCCUAUCAGCUAGUUGGUGAGGUAAGGGCUCACCAAGGCAACGCCGGGUAGCCGGCCUGAGAGGGCGACCGGCCACACUGGGACUGAGACACGGCCCAGACUCCUACGGGAGGCAGCAGUGGGGAAUAUUGGGCAAUGGGCGCAAGCCUGACCCAGCGACGCCGCGUGAGGGAUGAAGGCCUUCGGGUUGUAAACCUCUUUCAGUAGGGAAGAAGCGAAAGUGACGGUACCUAAAGAAGAAGCACCGGCUAACUAUGUGCCAGCCGCCGCGGUAA
rnacentral:rRNA from 1 species